CCUACGGGAGGCAGCAGUGAGGAAUAUUGGUCAAUGGGCUUACGCCUGAACCAGCCAAGUCGCGUGCGGGAAGACUGCCCUAUGGGUUGUAAACCUCUUUUGUCAGGGAGCAACGCCGGCUACGUGUAGCCGGACUGAGAGUACCUGAAGAAAAAGCAUCGGCUAACUCCGUGCCAGCAGCCGCGGUAAUACGGAGGAUGCGAGCGUUAUCCGGAUUUAUUGGGUGUAAAGGGCGUGUAGGCGGGAGCGCAAGUCAGAUGUGAAAACUCAGGGCUCAACCCUGAGCCUGCAGUUGAAAAUGUGUUUCUUGAGUGCUGGGGAGGCGAUCGGAAGUCCGGGUGUAGCGGUGAAAUGCGUAGAUAGACGGAGGAACACCAGUGGCGAAGGCGGAUUGCUGGACAGUAACUGACGCUGAGGCGCGAAAGCGUGGGGAGCAAACAGGAUUAGAUACCCGGGUAGUC
rnacentral:rRNA from 1 species